rnacentral:rRNA from 1 species
UAGGGAAUCUUCCACAAUGGACGAAAGUCUGAUGGAGCAACGCCGCGUGAGUGAAGAAGGAUUUCGGUUCGUAAAACUCUGUUGUAAGGGAAGAACAAGUACAGUAGUAACUGGCUGUACCUUGACGGUACCUUAUUAGAAAGCCACGGCUAACUACGUGCCAGCAGCCGCGGUAAUACGUAGGUGGCAAGCGUUGGCCGGAAUUAUUGGGCGUAAAGCGCGCGCAGGCGGUCCUUUAAGUCUGAUGUGAAAGCCCACGGCUCAAUCGUGGAGAGUCAUUGAGAACUGGGGGACUGGAGUGAAGAAGAGGAAAGUGGAAUUACAAGUGUAGCGGUGAAAUGCGUAGAGAUUUGGAGGAACACCAGUGGCGAAGGAGGGUUUCUGGUCUGUAACUGACGCUGAGGCGCGAAAGCGUGGGGAGCAAACAGG